AGCUGCGUGGUGAGCACAGAGCGAACUAUUCUUUCGCCUUUUACUAAAGAAUACCGUGUGCACGCCACACUAAGCAGCAUACCCUAAUUUUUUAGGCCGAUGCUAGACGCCGGC
rfam:Triticum aestivum genome assembly, contig: Triticum_aestivum_CS42_TGACv1_scaffold_147280_2BS